GGGUUGUGAGGUUAAGCGACUAAGCGUACACGGUGGAUGCCCUGGCAGUCAGAGGCGAUGAAGGACGUGCUAAUCUGCGAUAAGCGUCGGUGAGGUGAUAUGAACCGUUAUAACCGGCGAUUUCCGAAUGGGGAAACCCAGUGUGAUUCGUCACACUAUCAUUAACUGAAUCCAUAGGUUAAUGAGGCGAACCGGGGGAACUGAAACAUCUAAGUACCCCGAGGAAAAGAAAUCAACCGAGAUUCCCCCAGUAGCGGCGAGCGAACGGGGAGGAGCCCAGAGCCUGAAUCAGUGUGUGUGUUAGUGGAAGCGUCUGGAAAGGCGUGCGAUACAGGGUGACAGCCCCGUACACAAAAAUGCACAUAUUGUGAGCUCGAUGAGUAGGGCGGGACACGUGGUAUCCUGUCUGAAUAUGGGGGGACCAUCCUCCAAGGCUAAAUACUCCUGACUGACCGAUAGUGAACCAGUACCGUGAGGGAAAGGCGAAAAGAACCCCGGCGAGGGGAGUGAAAAAGAACCUGAAACCGUGUACGUACAAGCAGUGGGAGCCUCUUAAUGGGGUGACUGCGUACCUUUUGUAUAAUGGGUCAGCGACUUAUAUUCUGUAGCAAGGUUAACCGAAUAGGGGAGCCGAAGGGAAACCGAGUCUUAACUGGGCGUUAAGUUGCAGGGUAUAGACCCGAAACCCGGUGAUCUAGCCAUGGGCAGGUUGAAGGUUGGGUAACACUAACUGGAGGACCGAACCGACUAAUGUUGAAAAAUUAGCGGAUGACUUGUGGCUGGGGGUGAAAGGCCAAUCAAACCGGGAGAUAGCUGGUUCUCCCCGAAAGCUAUUUAGGUAGCGCCUCGUGAAUUCAUCUCCGGGGGUAGAGCACUGUUUCGGCAAGGGGGUCAUCCCGACUUACCAACCCGAUGCAAACUGCGAAUACCGGAGAAUGUUAUCACGGGAGACACACGGCGGGUGCUAACGUCCGUCGUGAAGAGGGAAACAACCCAGACCGCCAGCUAAGGUCCCAAAGUCAUGGUUAAGUGGGAAACGAUGUGGGAAGGCCCAGACAGCCAGGAUGUUGGCUUAGAAGCAGCCAUCAUUUAAAGAAAGCGUAAUAGCUCACUGGUCGAGUCGGCCUGCGCGGAAGAUGUAACGGGGCUAAACCAUGCACCGAAGCUGCGGCAGCGACACUAUGUGUUGUUGGGUAGGGGAGCGUUCUGUAAGCCUGUGAAGGUGGCCUGUGAGGGUUGCUGGAGGUAUCAGAAGUGCGAAUGCUGACAUAAGUAACGAUAAAGCGGGUGAAAAACCCGCUCGCCGGAAGACCAAGGGUUCCUGUCCAACGUUAAUCGGGGCAGGGUGAGUCGACCCCUAAGGCGAGGCCGAAAGGCGUAGUCGAUGGGAAACAGGUUAAUAUUCCUGUACUUGGUGUUACUGCGAAGGGGGGACGGAGAAGGCUAUGUUGGCCGGGCGACGGUUGUCCCGGUUUAAGCGUGUAGGCUGGUUUUCCAGGCAAAUCCGGAAAAUCAAGGCUGAGGCGUGAUGACGAGGCACUACGGUGCUGAAGCGACAAAUGCCCUGCUUCCAGGAAAAGCCUCUAAGCAUCAGGUAACAUCAAAUCGUACCCCAAACCGACACAGGUGGUCAGGUAGAGAAUACCAAGGCGCUUGAGAGAACUCGGGUGAAGGAACUAGGCAAAAUGGUGCCGUAACUUCGGGAGAAGGCACGCUGAUAUGUAGGUGAAGCGACUUGCUCGUGGAGCUGAAAUCAGUCGAAGAUACCAGCUGGCUGCAACUGUUUAUUAAAAACACAGCACUGUGCAAACACGAAAGUGGACGUAUACGGUGUGACGCCUGCCCGGUGCCGGAAGGUUAAUUGAUGGGGUUAGCGGUAACGCGAAGCUCUUGAUCGAAGCCCCGGUAAACGGCGGCCGUAACUAUAACGGUCCUAAGGUAGCGAAAUUCCUUGUCGGGUAAGUUCCGACCUGCACGAAUGGCGUAAUGAUGGCCAGGCUGUCUCCACCCGAGACUCAGUGAAAUUGAACUCGCUGUGAAGAUGCAGUGUACCCGCGGCAAGACGGAAAGACCCCGUGAACCUUUACUAUAGCUUGACACUGAACAUUGAGCCUUGAUGUGUAGGAUAGGUGGGAGGCUUUGAAGUGUGGACGCCAGUCUGCAUGGAGCCGACCUUGAAAUACCACCCUUUAAUGUUUGAUGUUCUAACGUGGGCCCCUUACCGGGGUUGCGGACAGUGUCUGGUGGGUAGUUUGACUGGGGCGGUCUCCUCCUAAAGAGUAACGGAGGAGCACGAAGGUUGGCUAAUCCUGGUCGGACAUCAGGAGGUUAGUGCAAUGGCAUAAGCCAGCUUGACUGCGAGCGUGACGGCGCGAGCAGGUGCGAAAGCAGGUCAUAGUGAUCCGGUGGUUCUGAAUGGAAGGGCCAUCGCUCAACGGAUAAAAGGUACUCCGGGGAUAACAGGCUGAUACCGCCCAAGAGUUCAUAUCGACGGCGGUGUUUGGCACCUCGAUGUCGGCUCAUCACAUCCUGGGGCUGAAGUAGGUCCCAAGGGUAUGGCUGUUCGCCAUUUAAAGUGGUACGCGAGCUGGGUUUAGAACGUCGUGAGACAGUUCGGUCCCUAUCUGCCGUGGGCGCUGGAGAACUGAGGGGGGCUGCUCCUAGUACGAGAGGACCGGAGUGGACGCAUCACUGGUGUUCGGGUUGUCAUGCCAAUGGCACUGCCCGGUAGCUAAAUGCGGAAGAGAUAAGUGCUGAAAGCAUCUAAGCACGAAACUUGCCCCGAGAUGAGUUCUCCCUGACUCCUUGAGAGUCCUGAAGGAACGUUGAAGACGACGACGUUGAUAGGCCGGGUGUGUAAGCGCAGCGAUGCGUUGAGCUAACCGGUA
rnacentral:rRNA from 1 species